GUGCUCAAUUCAAUAGUACAUUUACUAAAGUUGGAACAAUACAUAGAAUAUUAGCAUGGCUCCUACACAAGGACAACUUGUAAAUUUGUGAAGCAUUUCAUGAAAAG
ensembl:snRNA U6 U6 spliceosomal RNA